rnacentral:rRNA from 1 species
UACGAAGGGGGCUAGCGUUGUUCGGAAUUACUGGGCGUAAAGGGCUCGUAGGCGGCCAACUAAGUCAUACGUGAAAUCCCUCGGCUCAACCGCGGGCCUGCAGCCGAUACGGGCAGGCUAGAGUUCGGUAGGGGAGACUGGAAUUCCUGGUGUAGCGGUGAAAUGCGCAGAUAUCAGGAGGAACACCGGUGGCGAAGGCGGGUCUCUGGGCCGAUACUGACGCUGAGGAGCGAAAGCGUGGGGAGCAAACAGG